rnacentral:tRNA from 1 species
ACCUUUUUAGUUUAUAUUAAAAUGUGACUUUGAAGGAGUCAAGAAUUUUUUAGGAGGUG